rnacentral:rRNA from 1 species
GAUGAACGCUAGCGGCAGGCCUAAUACAUGCAAGUCGUACGGUCCCUUCGGGGAUAGUGGCGCACGGGUGCGUAACGCGUAUGCAACCUACCUCUUACUGGGGGAUAGCCCGGGGAAACCCGGAUUAAUACCGCAUAAUACUAUUUGAUGGCAUCUGAAGAUAGUUAAAACUCCGGUGGUAAGAGAUGGGCAUGCGUGCCAUUAGCUAGUUGGUAGUGUAACGGACUACCAAGGCUACGAUGGCUAGGGGUUCUGAGAGGAUGAUCCCCCANACUGGUACUGAGAUACGGACCAGACUCCUACGGGAGGCAGCAGUAGGGAAUAUUGGGCAAUGGACGGAAGUCUGACCCAGCCAUGCCGCGUGAAGGAAGAAGGCCUUCUGGGUUGUAAACUUCUUUUAUAUGGGAAGAAAAAGCGCUUGCGAGCGAAACUGACGGUACCAUAUGAAUAAGCACCGGCUAACUCCGUGCCAGCAGCCGCGGUAAUACGGAGGGUGCAAGCGUGUCCGGU